rnacentral:rRNA from 1 species
GAUGAACGCUGGCGGCGUGCCUAAUACAUGCAAGUCGAGCGAACGGACGAGAAGCUUGCUUCUCUGAUGUUAGCGGCGGACGGGCGAGUAACACGUGGAUAACCUACCUAUAAGACUGGGAUAACUUCGGGAAACCGUAGCUAAUACCGGAUAAUAUUUUGAACCGCAUGGUUCAAAAGUGAAAGACGGUCUUGCUGUCACUUAUAGAUGGAUCCGCGCUGCAUUAGCUAGUUGGUAAGGUAACGGCUUACCAAGGCAACGAUGCAUAGCCGACCUGAGAGGGUGAUCGGCCACACUGGAACUGAGACACGGUCCAGACUCCUACGGGAGGCAGCAGUAGGGAAUCUUCCACAAUGGGCGAAAGCCUGACGGAGCAACGCCGCGUGAGUGAUGAAGGUCUUCGGAUCGUAAAACUCUGUUAUUAGGGAAGAACAUAUGUGUAAUUAACUGUGCACAUCUUGACGGUACCUAAUCAGAAAGCCACGGCUAACUACGUG